ACGUGCAAUCAUACCAGCACUAAUGCACCGGAUCCCAUCAGCGGAUCCCAUCAGAACUUCGCAGUUAAGCGUGCUUGGGCAAAAAUAGUACUAUAAUGGAUGACCUCCUAGGAAGUCCUCCUAUUGCACCUC
rnacentral:rRNA from 1 species